rnacentral:lncRNA from 1 species
ACACCUCGGGCCAAACGCGGCAUUUCAAACUUCAAGAACUUGCAGCCCAGGAGGCCUUAUCCAUAGCCUCAACCAGCUGCUCCCAGAACCAAGUUUUUUUCAAAAAGGAAAUUUUGAAAGAAAAAGCAAGCAACCUCAUGCCCAGCAUGGACCAUGCCCGAAGUUCCUGCUUCAUAAAAAUGACUCCCAGUUAUGCUUCAGGGAGAAAAAGUACCCCCUGAGUUUGAAAAACCCACCCUGAGGUUAGAAGUUUUCUGCCAGCCUACGACGCUCCUUUAGCAACGCCGGGGCGUACAAACCCUCUCCGGUCCCACCCAUACCCACCCCCCAUGCCUCCAAUAAGCCUUAAAAACGACCCAGCUAUAUAGCAAAGCCCACCGCUCCCCCGAGCUUCCCGAGGCUGCAAGUGGCCCGCACCUCCUUUUCAAGGGCCCCGG